rnacentral:rRNA from 1 species
AACGAACGCUGGCGGCAUGCCUAACACAUGCAAGUCGAACGAGAUCUUCGGGUCUAGUGGCGCACGGGUGCGUAACGCGUGGGAAUCUGCCCUUUGGUUCGGAAUAACAGUUGGAAACGACUGCUAAUACCGGAUGAUGACGAAAGUCCAAAGAUUUAUCGCCAGAGGAUGAGCCCGCGUAGGAUUAGCUAGUUGGUGUGGUAAAGGCGCACCAAGGCGACGAUCCUUAGCUGGUCUGAGAGGAUGAUCAGCCACACUGGGACUGAGACACGGCCCAGACUCCUACGAGAGGCAGCAGUGGGGAAUAUUGGACAAUGGGCGAAAGCCUGAUCCAGCAAUGCCGCGUGAGUGAUGAAGGCCUUAGGGGUGUAAAGCUCUUUUACCCGGGAUGAUAAUGACAGUACCGGGAGAAUAAGCUCCGGCUAACUCCGUGCCAGCCGCCGCAGUAA